rnacentral:rRNA from 1 species
GAUGAACGCUGGCGGCGUGCCUAAUACAUGCAAGUCGAGCGAACAGACGAGGAGCUUGCUCCUCUGACGUUAGCGGCGGACGGGUGAGUAACACGUGGAUAACCUACAUAUAAGGAUAGGAUAAGUUCGGGAAACCGGAGCUAAUACAGGAUAAGAUAGUGAACGGCAUGGUUCAUUAGUCAAAGCGGUUUUUGCUGACACUAAUAGAUGGAACCGGGCCGCAUUAGCUAGUUGGUAAGGUAACGGCUUACCAAGGCAACGAUGCGUAGCCGACCUGAGAGGGUGAUCGGCCACACUGGAACUGAGACACGGUCCAGACUCCUACGGGAGGCAGCAGUAGGGAAUCUUCCACAAUGGGCGAAAGCCUGACGGAGCAACGCCGCGUGAGUGAUGAAGGUCUUCGGAUCGUAAAACUCUGUUAUUAGGGAAGAACAAAUGUGUAAGUAACUAUGCACGUCUUGACGGUACCUAAUCAGAAAGCCACGGCUAACUACGUG